CCGCCCGUCACAUCACGAAAGUGGGCUGUACUAGAAGUGGCUGAGCUAACUCGCAAGAGGGGCAGGUUACGACGGUAUGGUUCAUGAUUGGGGUG
rnacentral:rRNA from 1 species